UAGAUAUUCCUAUUUUCAUAUUAUUGAAGCAAUAUGGACUCUCAUUUGAUGCAAUUAUAACUAAGUGGGGAAUCUUGGAUAAUGAGCGAAAGCUCAAUCUAAAAAUAUCUCAUAAGUGAAGAAAGGAAAUGUCGCUUGUAAUGCUUUUUCGUUGAGUGCAUGAUCAUGACAGGACUCAAGGAAGAAGCAUCGACUAACUCCGUGUCAGCAACCGCGGUAAGAUGGGGAAGGGG
rnacentral:ncRNA from 1 species